UUUUGCUUCAAACCAUCCGAACCAACCCACACCCGUACUGAUUACAGCUGGCUAGGGUUCUCAUUUUCCCUCUCUCAAUCGGCGAUUUGCGAUAGCGACGAUUCUAGCGGCUGCAAUCUCCAUCGGCGCUUACCACGGUGGUUCUCCGGCGUAGUACCCAUUUCCAAAAGAAUCAAAAUUUCAGAAUUUGAUCAUCAAAUUUCAAGUUUUCAUCCUUCAAAGUUGACCAUUUCAUGGUUUAAACACUCGGGGAUUUCAGAAUUACUGCUUCUUUUUAUUUUUCCAAUUUCAGUGGCACAUUUUAUUUACUUUUCGAUUACUAAAAACUUAUUUGCCUGUCUCAAGAUUAUAAAUUUGAUUACUUUAAAAUAAGGUUCUUAAUUAAUUAACUAAUGUGCAUUUGCUUGUGUUGUUGAACCCAAGAAAAAAAAAAACAAAAUUGAAUGUGUUGUGUAUUUGGCUUUGUCUGUGAACCUUCAAAAAAAAAAAGGGGGGCGGGGGGGGGGGGGGGAUCAAGUUCGGUUGGGGAAAACCAAUACCCGUUAUGAGAUGGGGAAAAAUUAUAAUAGGGGAAGGGGGACGGGGAAUUAAUAUCCACCUUGUUGGCCCCCAUUGCUGGGCCAUCAGAUAGAGAAAGGGUUGGACACUGAAACUAUUUUCUUAUUUUAUUUUAUUUAUAAUUUUAUGUCAAAAACUUUAUGCACUCUUUGUUACUUCUGAGAUUGUUUGUAAUAUAUCAAGACAAUUUAUGCAUUUUAUUGUUGAUGGCAAUAGUUAUAGUUGGUUCAAAUUAUAGCGAAAAUGAUACGCACCAAAUAGCCCCUUGCUGCUUCCAGUCUUAGUCGCAAGGAAACAUCGAGAAAUAAAGGUAUUUCCGGUGCUAAAUUAAACAUUCUUUCUUGGCAUCGUACAUUGAACAAAAUAUUUCUUUGUUCAACUCUGUUUUGCCAAACAAUAAUAGUUUACAAUUUUUUCUUUUUUCUGGGUCAUGUGAAGCAUUAAAAUCCUUUUUUGUUUGCUUAUAAGCCCGUUUCUUCUGGGUCAAAGUUGAUUCGAUAUUGGAUUUUUGGGAUAGUGCAAGAGAAUGCAAAGCAAAAUGAUGUUGUUCUUUAGUCUGAAACUCGAGAUGUGGAAAUCAUAUAAACAAUGGUCUUCAAAGUUCUGUGAUUGCUCUGCUGUGGAUGUUACUACUUUAGUAUGUGAUUGCCUACUUGAUUAUAAUUGUAUUUUAUAUAAUUAAAUGUGAACAUCAAUCCGUCUUCUGAAGCUCAUGUCAUGCCCUCUAGAGGAUAUACA